CCCUACGGGGGGCAGCAGUAGGGAAUUUUCGUCAAUGGGCGCAAGCCUGAACGAGCAAUGCCGCGUGAACGAGGAAGGUCUUCGGAUCGUAAAGUUCUGUUGAAGGGGAAAAAGAGCGGAGAGAGGAAAUGGUCUCCGAUUGAUAUUACCCUUCGAGGAAGUCACGGCUAACUACGUGCCAGCAGCCGCGGUAAUACGUAGGUGGCGAGCGUUAUCCGGAAUGAUUGGGCGUAAAGGGAGCGCAGACGGCAAGGCAAGUCUGAUGUGAAAGUCCGAGGCUCAACCUCGGGACUGCAUUGGAAACU
rnacentral:rRNA from 1 species